rnacentral:rRNA from 1 species
GACGAACGCUGGCGGCGUGCUUAACACAUGCAAGUCGAACGGAAAGGCCCUGCUUUUGUGGGGUGCUCGAGUGGCGAACGGGUGAGUAACACGUGAGUAACCUGCCCUUGACUUUGGGAUAACUUCAGGAAACUGGGGCUAAUACCGGAUAGGAGCUCCUGCUGCAUGGUGGGGGUUGGAAAGUUUCGGCGGCUGGGGAUGGACUCGCGGCUUAUCAGCUUGUUGGUGGGGUAGUGGCUUACCAAGGCUUUGACGGGUAGCCGGCCUGAGAGGGUGACCGGGGUCAAGGGGACUGAGAGACGCACCAGAAGGCAACGGGAGGCAGUAGUGGGGAGUAUUGCACAGUGGGCGGAAGCGUGAUGCAGCAACGCCGCGUGCGGGAUGACGGCCUUCGGGGUGUAAACCGCUGUCGCAUGUGACGAAGCGGGAGUGACGGUAAUGGGUAAAGAAGCACCGGCUAACUACGUG